GUCUAUGGCCACACCACCCUGAACGCGCCCAGUCUCGUCUGAUCUUGGAAGCUAAGCAGGGUCGGGCCUGGUUAGUACUUGGAUGGGAGAUAGAGUCUCACACUGUUGCCCAGGCUGGAAUGCAGUGGUGCGAUCACA
rnacentral:rRNA from 1 species